AGGACGAACGCUGGCGGCGUGCUUAACACAUGCAAGUCGAGCGGAAAGGCCUUUCGGGGUACUCGAGCGGCGAACGGGUGAGUAACACGUGAGUAACCUGCCCCCUACUUUGGGAUAACCCUCGGAAACGGGGGCUAAUACCGGAUAUGACUUGGCCCGGCAUCGGGUUUGGUGGAAAGUUUUUCGGUGGGGGAUGGGCUCGCGGCCUAUCAGCUUGUUGGUGGGGUAAUGGCCUACCAAGGCGACGACGGGUAG
rnacentral:rRNA from 1 species